rnacentral:rRNA from 1 species
GGACCCGCACAAGUAGUGGAGCAUGUGGUUUAAUUCGAAGAUACGCGCAGAACCUUACCAACACUUGACAUGUUCGUCGCGACUCUAAGAGAUUAGAGUUUUCGGUUCGGCCGGACGAAACACAGGUGCUGCAUGGCUGUCGUCAGCUCGUGUCGUGAGAUGUUGGGUUAAGUCCCGCAACGAGCGCAACCCUCACUUUUAGUUGCCAUCAUUAAGUUGGGCACUCUGAAAGAACUGCCAGUGAUAAGCUGGAGGAAGGUGGGGAUGACGUCAAGUCCUCAUGGCCCUUACGUGUUGGGCUACACACGUGCUACAAUGGUAUCUACAACAGGAAGCAAGACUGCGAAGUUAAGCCAAACUCAAAAACUUACCUCAGUUCGGAUUGCACUCUGCAACUCGAGUGCAUGAAGCUGGAAUC